rnacentral:rRNA from 1 species
GUGAGGAAUUUUCCGCAAUGGGCGAAAGCCUGACGGAGCAAUGCCGCGUGAAGGAUGAAGGCCUAUGGGUUGUAAACUUCUUUUCUCAGAAAAGAAUUAUGACGGUAUCUGAGGAAUAAGCAUCGGCUAACUCUGUGCCAGCAGCCGCGGUAAGAAAGAGGAUGCAAGCGUUAUCCGGAAUGAUUGGGCGUAAAGCGUCUGUAGGUUGUUUAAAAAGUAUUCUGUCAAAGAUUAGGGCUUAACCCUAGAUAGGCAGAAUAAACUUUUAAGCUAGAGGUUAGUAGAGGCAGAGGGAAUACCUGGUGGAGCGGUGAAAUGCGUAGAGAUCGGGAGGAACACCAAAGGCGAAGACACUCUGCUGGGCCAAUACUAACACUGAGAGACGAAAGCGAGGGGAGCAAAUGGGAUUAGAAACCCUAGUAGUCC